AAAAACCCUAGCAUGUGACCAUGAACCUGGUC
rnacentral:piRNA from 1 species